rnacentral:rRNA from 1 species
ACGAACGCUGGCGGCGUGCUUAACACAUGCAAGUCGAACGGAAAGGCCCUGCUUUUGUGGGGUGCUCGAGUGGCGAACGGGUGAGUAACACGUGAGUAACCUGCCCUUGACUUUGGGAUAACUUCAGGAAACUGGGGCUAAUACCGGAUAGGAGCUCCUGCUGCAUGGUGGGGGUUGGAAAGUUUCGGCGGUUGGGGAUGGACUCGCGGCUUAUCAGCUUGUUGGUGGGGUAGUGGCUUACCAAGGCUUUGACGGGUAGCCGGCCUGAGAGGGUGACCGGCCACAUUGGGACUGAGAUACGGCCCAGACUCCUACGGGAGGCAGCAGUGGGGAAUAUUGCACAAUGGGUGGAAGCCUGAUGCAGCAACGCCGCGUGCGGGAUGACGGCCUUCGGGUUGUAAACCGCUUUCGCCUGUGACGAAGCGUGAGUGACGGUAAUGGGUAAAGAAGCACCGGCUAACUACGUG